rnacentral:lncRNA from 1 species
AGGAUGAUCAAUGGAAACAGGAUGCACCUGAACUCAAUUUUGAGUCUCGUAGCAAAGGGUCUGAAUACUUAUAAAAAUGUAUAAAAACCUGUUUUCGCUUUGUCAUUAUGGAGUAUUGUGUGUAGCUUGAUGAGGGGAAAAAAUGUGUCAAUCCAUUUUAGAAUAAGGAUGUAACGUAACAAAAUGUGGAAAAAGUCAAGGGGUCUGAAAACUUUCUGAAUGCACUGUAUAUACAGUACCGUUCAAAAGUUUGGACACACCUACUCAUUAUAGGGGUUUUCUUUAUUUUUACUAUUUUCUACAUUGUAGAAUAAUAGUGAUGACAUUAAAACUAUAAAAUAACACAUAUGGAAUCAUGUAGUAUUCCACCCUCAGGGGUGUGUGCUCAGUCCCCUCCUGUACUCCCUGUUCACUCAUGACUGCACAGCCAGGCACGACUCCAAAACCAUCAUUACAUUUUCCGAUGACACAACAGUGGUAGGUCUGAUCACAGACAACGAUGAGACAGUCUAUAGGAAGGAGGUCAUAGACCUGGCUGUGUGGUGUCAGGACAACAACCUCUCCCUCAACAUGAUCAAGACAAAGGAGAUGAUUGUGGACUACAGGAAAAAGAGGGCCGAGCAUGCCCCCAUUCUCAUCGACGAGGCUGUAGCGGAGCAUGUUGAGAGCUUCAAGUUCCUUGGUGUCUACAUCACCAACACACUAACUUGGUCUAAGCACACCAAGACAGUCGUGAACAACCUAUUCCCCCUCAGGAGACUGAAAAGAUUUGGCAUGGGUCCUCAGAUCCUCAAAAGGUGAUACAACUGCACCAUUGAGAGCAUCCUGACUGGUUGCAUUACUGCCUGGUAUGGCAACUGCUUGGCCUCCGACCGCAAGGCACUACAGAGGGUAGUGCGUACGGCCCAGUACAUCACUGGGGCCAAGCUUCCUGCCAUCCAGGAACUCUACACCAGGCAGUGCCCUAAAAAUUGUCAAAGACUCCAACCACCCUAGUCAUAGACUGUUCUCUGUUCUACCGGAGCACCAAGUCUAGGUCCAAGAGGCUUCUAAACAGCUUCUACCCCCAAGCCAUAGAAGUGCAUAAUACAUUUUGUAAACUAAUUUCCUUAUUACCCUUUGUAAAUGUUUUAAAGGAAUUAUAUAACCCUUUCUGUAUAUAAGUGUGUGUGUGAGUGAUUCAACUCAGUUUGUACAGUAAUAAUUUGACAUAGCAUGUUUGCAUUGCCCCCCCCCCCCCCCCCUUUACACCGCUGCUACUCUCUGUUGUUAACAUCUAUGCAUAGUCACUUUAAUAACUCUACCUACAUGUACAUAUUACCUCAACUAACCGGUGCCCCCACACAUUGACUCUGUACCGGUACCCCCUGUGUAUAGUCUUGCUAUUGCUAUUUUACUGCUGCUCGUUAAUUACUUGUUACUUUUAUUUCUUAUUCUUACUCAUAUUUUUUCAUUUUUAAACUGCAUUGUUGGUUAGGGGCUCUUAAGUAAGCAUUUCACUGUAAGGUCUACACUAUUGUCUUCACUAUUAUUCUACAAUGUAAAAAAUAGUAAAAAUUUUGAAAACCCUUCAAUGAGUAGGUGUGUCCAAACUUUUGACUGGUACUGUGUAUAUAUGGCACUGGUGCAUAAUGUUCUGCUCAGACUCCGAUCUUUCAUCCCAUGUAGAAAGAGACUUGUGUUCUCUGUAAACAGCAUUUGGCUUAUGCAGCUAUUGAUAGGACUCAUCACGCACUCCUCACAGCAAGGCUUUCUCUUUGAACUCUGAUCCUUGACAGUUGCACUAGAAGCUCUGCUCUGUGUACGAUUGCUCUGCUCUGUGUAUGAUUGCUUUUGCCUGCUCUAGCUUAUACUCUCCCUGCACUUUCCUGACCACUGGUCAGAGGCACUCGUCUCGCUCACAAAGAUUGUACAUUUUUGAAGACAGAAAUAAAUAAUACACCA